GCAGACUCACUCUGUUCCAGUCUGCUCUGAAGCCAGCCUGGAACUUUUUCUGUCUGCUAGAGAAACUCUCAGAAUGUAACGCAUGAGCUUGUCCGUUCGUUAGGCAGGUGCUGCUAUGUUCUGGAACAUUCUG